rnacentral:sRNA from 1 species
GGGAGAGAAGUGAAACUAUCGCAAUGAUCCUAGUGACGACACAGAGAACUAUGUCAGCGACUGUAUAGUGGCCUUGAAGAAGCCAAUAUAUUAUACAAGACUUUAAAACGUCAAGAAUAAACAUAGAUUGUAUUAUAUAGAUGUGAAGUUGCUCCUAAAAGAAAUUUAGUGUCACAUUCGUAACAGAACCAAGUUUUGUUGUCAACAUUUUGGAGCUUCACGAGUGGUACACUUAGAAACGUGCAUAUACAUGCCAACAGCUGAUGAUAAGAGAGAAGUGGGUAUCUUGCAUUGGGUAAGGACCCAAGGUACACGAUCUAAGUAUAUAUCAAGAAGUGUACCAUCCUGUUCAGUGCCGGCUUUAGCUUUACAUUUACAAUUAUUAGGGCUCUUAAAAAGAACUAGGAAACAAAUGUGUUGAAGACACAGCAUUUGACAGCAAAAGACAACGAUCAGUAUCAGCAAAAGACAACGAUUU